rnacentral:rRNA from 1 species
UAAGGGAUCGGGGUUAACUCCCAAACCCCUGUGACAUACCACUUGUUGCCUCGGCGGAUCAGCCCGCUCCCGGUAAAACGGGACGGCCCGCCAGAGGACCCCUAAACUCUGUUUCUAUAUGUAACUUCUGAGUAAAACCAUAAAUAAAUCAAAACUUUCAACAACGGAUCUCUUGGUUCUGGCAUCGAUGAAGAACGCAGCAAAAUGCGAUAAGUAAUGUGAAUUGCAGAAUUCAGUGAAUCAUCGAAUCUUUGAACGCACAUUGCGCCCGCCAGUAUUCUGGCGGGCAUGCCUGUUCGAGCGUCAUUUCAACCCUCAAGCACAGCUUGGUGUUGGGACUCGCGUUAAUUCGCGUUCCUCAAAUUGAUUGGCGGUCACGUCGAGCUUCCAUAGCGUAGUAGUAAAACCCUCGUUACUGGUAAUCGUCGCGGCCACGCCGUUAAACCCCAACUUCUGAAUGUUGACCUCGGAUCAGGUAGGAAUACCCGCUGAACUUAAGCAUAUCAAUAAGCGGAGGAAA